UACGGAGGGGGCUAGCGUUGUUCGGAAUUACUGGGCGUAAAGGGCGCGUAGGCGGCGCGGUAAGUCACUUGUGAAAUCUCUGAGCUUAACUCGGAAAGGUCAACUGAUACUGUGCGGCUAGAGUGCGGAAGGGGCAACUGGAAUUCUUGGUGUAGCGGUGAAAUGCGUAGAUAUCAAGAGGAACACCUGCGGCGAAGGCGGGUUGCUGGGCCGACACUGACGCUGAGGCGCGAAAGCCAGGGGAGCGAACGGG
rnacentral:rRNA from 1 species